rnacentral:rRNA from 1 species
AUUGAACGCUGGCGGCAGGCUUAACACAUGCAAGUCGAGCGGAGAUGAGGUGCUUGCACCUUAUCUUAGCGGCGGACGGGUGCGUAAUGCUUAGGAAUCUGCCUAUUAGUGGGGGACAACAUUCCGAAAGGGAUGCUAAUACCGCAUACGUCCUACGGGAGAAAGCAGGGGAUCUUCGGACCUUGCGCUAAUAGAUGAGCCUAAGUCGGAUUCGCUAGUUGGUGGGGUAAAGGCCUACCAAGGCGACGAUCUGUAGCGGGUCUGAGGGGAUGAUCCGCCACACUGGGACUUGGACACGGCCCGGACUCCUACGGGAGGCAGCAGUGGGAAAUAUUGGACAAUGGGGGGAACCCUGAUCCAGCCAUGCCGCGUGUGUGAAGAAGGCCUUAUGGUUGUAAAGCACUUUAAGCGAGGAGGAGGCUACUGAGACUAAUACUCUUGGAUAGUGGACGGUACUCGCAGAAUAAGCACCGGCUAACUCUGUGCCAGCCGCCGCCGUAACAC